GCCCUUGUGGCGUAAUGGUAGCGCAUGAGACUCCUAUGGUAGUCUAUCUCAAGGUUGCGGGUUCGAUCCCCGCCAAGGGUU